CAGCCGCCACGGGAAUACGUAGGGUGCGAGCGUUAAUCGGAAUUACUGGGCGUAAAGCGUGCGCAGGCGGUUCGUUAAGACAGAUGUGAAAUCCCCGGGCUUAACCUGGGAACUGCAUUUGUGACUGGCGAGCUAGAGUAUGGCAGAGGGGGGUAGAAUUCCACGUGUAGCAGUGAAAUGCGUAGAGAUGUGGAGGAAUACCGAUGGCGAAGGCAGCCCCCUGGGCCAAUACUGACGCUCAUGCACGAAAGCGUGGGAGCAAACAGGAUUAGAUACCCCAGUAGUCCCUGUCUCUUAUACA
rnacentral:rRNA from 1 species